rnacentral:rRNA from 1 species
GAGUUUGAUCGUGGCUCAGGAUGAACGCUGGCGGCGUGCCUAAUACAUGCAAGUCGAGCGAAUCUGAGGGAGCUUGCUCCCAAAGAUUAGCGGCGGACGGGUGAGUAACACGUGGGCAACCUGCCUGUAAGACUGGGAUAACUUCGGGAAACCGGAGCUAAUACCGGAUAAUAUAUGAGACCACAUGGUCUUAUAUUAAAGAUGGCUUUUAGCUAUCACUUACAGAUGGGCCCGCGGCGCAUUAGCUAGUUGGUGAGGUAACGGCUCACCAAGGCAACGAUGCGUAGCCGACCUGAGAGGGUGAUCGGCCACACUGGGACUGAGACACGGCCCAGACUCCUACGGGAGGCAGCAGUAGGGAAUCUUCCGCAAUGGACGAAAGUCUGACGGAGCAACGCCGCGUGAGCGAAGAAGGUCUUCGGAUCGUAAAGCUCUGUUGUUAGGGAAGAACAAGUAUCGUUCAAACAGGGCGGUACCUUGACGGUA